rnacentral:rRNA from 1 species
UACAGAGGUGGCAAGCGUUGUUCGGAAUUACUGGGCGUAAAGGCGCGUAGGCGGUCUUGCAAGUCCCGUGUGAAAUCCCUCGGCUCAACUGAGGAAUGGCACGGGAAACUGCUUGGCUUGAGUUCGGGAGAGGGAAGCGGAAUUCCGGGUGUAGCGGUGAAAUGCGUAGAUAUCCGGAGGAACACCGGUGGCGAAGGCGGCUUCCUGGACCGACACUGACGCUGAGGCGCGAAAGCUAGGGGAGCAAACGGG